rnacentral:rRNA from 1 species
UGAGGAACAUGACCUUCGGCGGGGGAUAGCCGGCCCAACGGCCGGGUAAUACCGCGUACGACCACAUGGGGACAUCCCUGAGUGGUGAAAGCAGCAAUGCGCCGAUGGAGUGCCUCGCGGCCUAUCAGCUAGUUGGUGAGGUAACGGCUCACCAAGGCGACGACGGGUAGCUGGUCUGAGAGGAUGGCCAGCCACAGUUGGGACUGAGACACGGCCCAGACCUUGUAACCGGGGAGG